rnacentral:rRNA from 1 species
CAAAGGGAGCGAUUCCGGCAACGGAUGGGCAUGCGUGACAUUAGCUAGUUGGCGGGGCAACGGCCCACCAAGGCGACGAUGUCUAGGGGUUCUGAGAGGAAGGUCCCCCACACUGGUACUGAGACACGGACCAGACUCCUACGGGAGGCAGCAGUGAGGAAUAUUGGUCAAUGGGCGCGAGCCUGAACCAGCCAAGUCGCGUGAGGGAUGACGGCCCUACGGGUUGUAAACCUCUUUUGUCGGGGAGCAAAUUCCGCCACGUGUGGCGGAGUCGAGAGUACCCGAAGAAAAAGCAUCGGCUAACUCCGUGCCAGCAGCCGCGGUAAUACGGAGGAUGCGAGCGUUAUCCGGAUUUAUUGGGUUUAAAGGGUGCGUAGGCGGACUGUCAAGUCAGCGGUAAAAUACGGGGGCCCAACCUCCGCCCGCCGUUGAAACUGACGGUCUUGAGUGGGCGAGAAGUAUGCGGAAUGCGUGGUGUAGCGGUGAAAUGCAUAGAUAUCACGCAGAACUCCGAUUGCGAAGGCAGCAUACCGGCGCCCAACUGACGCUGAAGCACGAAAGCGUGGGUAUCGAACAGGAUUAGAUACCCUGGUAGUCCACGCAGUAAACGAUGAAUACUAGCUGUCCGGGGCGAAUGAGCCCUGG